rnacentral:rRNA from 1 species
CGGCGGACGGGUGAGUAAUGCCUAGGAAUCUGCCUGGUAGUGGGGGGAUAACGUUCGGAAACGGACGCUAAUACCGCAUACGUCCUACGGGAGAAAGCAGGGGACCUUCGGGCCUUGCGCUAUCAGAUGAGCCUAGGUCGGAUUAGCUAGUUGGUGGGGUAAUGGCUCACCAAGGCGACGAUCCGUAACUGGUCUGAGAGGAUGAUCAGUCACACUGGAACUGAGACACGGUCCAG